GAAUGGCCGACUCCGCCGCGAGCCGUCACUUCCUCGGCUUCCGCUCCGUCCGUGGCCGCCGCCGAGAUCUUCGACCCCGUCCCCUCCACCCUCUCCGGCCUCCUCUCCCUCGCUGACUCUUUCGCUCUCGCCGACGAGGCUGGGGCCUUUGUCCUCGAGCUCCUCCUCCUAGUUCGAUGAGAUCGUCCACCUUCUCCUUGACUACUUCGCUAACGCCUCACUUGACUACGGCACCGCAGUCACACGUCGUAUUGGGGGUGGGGGGGUGUUGUGUGGCGCGGUUCGAUGGCCACCACUUCCUCUUUUCCUUCGACUAGCUCGGAUAGACCCAGAAGCAGGGCAUUCUUGAUAACUUCUCCGGUUAGUAUAUGUGCCAGCCCUUCACUGCUUUUGUGGAGAAGGUGAUCGCGGAGCGCUCGGCCAUGCUUGAUGGCACCAGUGGGAUGCCGAAGAUGUACGAGACUGCAGGUGCAGCAUUUCCUCUUCGGUUCGGAUCGCUCACCAACUGGCUGAUGUUCAAAAAUGUUCUUUUGGGUUUUCAAGCAUUUAGCAGCCAAGUAAAUUGGUUCGAAUGCUGGCAUGAUGGUUUCGUAUAACUGGUUGCUUUGAAGUAUUAAAUCAAGCAACCGAUAAUCUGGUUGCCUUCCUUUGUAGGGAGGGAAUGCGAAAUUUGAAUUGGGUGUUUUGGGAACUUGCUCACAUCUGCAGACCAACUCCAAGUUGUGUCUGCAAAGUCUGUCUGGCUUGUAACAAGCAAAAUCAAGCUCCUGCAUGUGCCCGAGAUCAACUCACAGCACUUAGAUUUGUCUUUUCUCGAUCUUGGUCGGUGUUGCCAGAUGGAUUUGUAUUUUUAUAUUCAGAGCAGAACAUGUCAAAACCUCGGUGGCGUUUGAUGCAACCAUCUUGGAGUAAUUAAUAAUGGGGUUCUUGUCUUUUUGAAUCCACCGGCAUGGAUCAGAUCACCAGUUCAGAUUCUAAGGAUGCUCCACUUGGUUUCCUGUGACUCUCUUCGGGCUUUGGCAUGUAUAGUAACAUCAAGUCUCAGUUCAGUUAAUGUGUUGGGCAUCAUCACUAUACUAUUUGGUGACUCGACCACAGCAUCCUGACAGUGCCACAAGGGUGGGUCAGUACGCAGUUGAGUCCAUGGCUUCUCGGAUUGGCUUGUCCAGUCCAGUGAAUGCUGGCUGCUUCUACUGCUCCACCUGCCAGUCUUGGGAAGGUGAGCAGCAAUCAAUGCUGUGGAGCUCAAUUUAUGGGCAUGAGCUUCGCUUGAACUGAGCCAUAAGCCAUAUGGUAGGUCCGUCCUCAGUUACCAUUUCUGAGGUCAUAUUACGAAUGCUGGAUAAGCCUGUGACAGGUACAGUGAAGAAGGUGCUUCUGUGUGUGUGUCAGCAGCGGUCCAUUCAUCAGGCUAAUUAUGAGACGGCUUCAUCAACCUGCACCAGUCGAACGUCUCUUGGCAUCCAUAAGAAGGGUUAAGUGACAUCGAAUCGGACGUCGUCAGGUUUGGAUAAUCUCGUGUGCUUGAAGGCUUACCAAGGAAAAUACUGUGUGGCUCUAGGUUUGCAGAGCUUGGGUUUGGUGACUGCCUUGUACGACUAAGGCUUCACAUGCUACGUGCAAAAGCUGUUCAAAAAGGAAAAGAAAAUGAGAAAAAUAAGUUAGACAUUCCCGAAAGAAAGGUGCAUAAAAACUUCUGUAUGAUGUGAUCUGACACAAGUCAUUGCCAACUUCAUGUUUGAGGAUGACAACCUCUUUAAUGCCCCCCAACCAACCUUCUUGCUUCCGGUGACCCAAGUCCAGGCCGUGGCUUACCGUGGAGGGGGACAACCUUAGAAGCACACCGUGGAGAGUAGAUUUUGGUUUUUCAUUUGUUAGAUUAAGAGCAAAUUUUUAAGAUAAUUAUUAGGUCAGGCCGGAGUAUUGUUUUUUU